UUUAUUGAAACUUCGGUCGAUUUAAUUUAAUUCUAGUGGCGGACGGGUGAGUAACGCGUGGGUAACCUACCUUAUACAGGGGGAUAACAGUCAGAAAUGACUGCUAAUACCGCAUAAGCGCACAGCAUCGCAUGAUGCAGUGUGAAAAACUCCGGUGGUGUGAGAUGGACCCGCGUUGGAUUAGCUAGUUGGCAGGGCAGCGGCCUACCAAGGCGACGAUCCAUAGCCGGCCUGAGAGGGUGAACGGCCACAUUGGGACUGAGACACGGCCCAGACUCCUACGGGAGGCAGCAGUGGGGAAUAUUGCACAAUGGGGGAAACCCUGAUGCAGCGACGCCGCGUGAAGGAAGAAGUAUCUCGGUAUGUAAACUUCUAUCAGCAGGGAAGAUAAUGACGGUACCUGACUAAGAAGCCCCGGCUAACUACGUGCCAGCAGCCGCGGUAAUACGUAGGGGGCAAGCGUUAUCCGGAUUUACUGGGUGUAAAGGGAGCGUAGACGGUUAUGUAAGUCUGAUGUGAAAACCCGGGGCUCAACCCCGGGACUGCAUUGGAAACUAUGUAACUAGAGUGUCGAAGAGGUAAGUGGAAUUCCUAGUGUAGCGGUGAAAUGCGUAGAUAUUAGGAGGAACACCAGUGGCGAAGGC
rnacentral:rRNA from 1 species